rnacentral:rRNA from 1 species
CCUACGGGAGGCAGCAGUGGGGAAUAUUGGACAAUGGGGGCAACCCUGAUCCAGCCAUGCCGCGUGUGUGAAGAAGGCCCUCGGGUUGUAAAGCACUUUCAGUGAGGAAGAACGCCUGGUGGUUAAUACCCAUCAGGAAAGACAUCACUCACAGAAGAAGCACCGGCUAACUCCGUGCCAGCAGCCGCGGUAAUACGGAGGGUGCGAGCGUUAAUCGGAAUUACUGGGCGUAAAGCGCGCGUAGGUGGCUUGAUAAGCCGGUUGUGAAAGCCCCGGGCUCAACCUGGGAACGGCAUCCGGAACUGUCAAGCUAGAGUGCAGGAGAGGAAGGUAGAAUUCCCGGUGGAGCGGUGAAAUGCGUAGAGAUCGGGAGGAAUACCAGUGGCGAAGGCGGCCUUCUGGACUGACACUGACACUGAGGUGCGAAAGCGUGGGUAGCAAACAGGAUUAGAUACCCGGGUAGUC